rnacentral:rRNA from 1 species
UACGAAGGGGGCUAGCGUUGCUCGGAAUCACUGGGCGUAAAGAGCUCGUAGGCGGUUCGGUAAGUCGGGUGUGAAACCUCCAGGCUCAACCUGGAGACGCCACCCGAUACUGCUGUGACUAGAGUCCGGUAGGGGAGCGUGGAAUUCCUGGUGUAGCGGUGAAAUGCGCAGAUAUCAGGAGGAACACCAGCGGCGAAGGCGGCGCUCUGGGCCGGAACUGACGCUGAGGAGCGAAAGCGUGGGGAGCAAACAGG